rnacentral:tRNA from 1 species
GCCGACGUAGCUCAACGGUAGAGCAGCUGAUUUGUAAUCAGCCGGUUGGAGGUUCAAGUCCUCUCGUCGGCU